GCAGUGGUAGUUCAGUAGUAGAAUUCUAGACUUCCAUGUAGGAGACUUGGGUUCAAUUCUCAGCCAAUGCA
rnacentral:tRNA from 1 species